rnacentral:rRNA from 1 species
GACGAACGCUGGCGGCGUGCUUAACACAUGCAAGUCGAACGGUAAGGCCUUUCGGGGUACACGCGUGGGGAACGGGUGAGUAAGACGUGGGUGAGCGGCCCGGCAUGUCGGGAGAAGCAAGGGAAACUGGGUGUAAUACCGACUGGGACUGCGCGGUGCAUACCGUGUGGGGGAAAGAUUUAUCGCGGCAGGGUGGGCGCGCGCCUUAUAAGCUUGUUGGUGGGGUAUUGGCGUACCAAGGGGAGGACGGGGAGCCGGCCUGGGAGGGGGACCGGCCCCACUGGGCCUGAGACACGCCCCGGACUCCUCCGGGAGGCAGCGGGGGGAAUUAUGGCACAUGGGGCGCAAGCCGAAGGCAGCGCCGCCGGGUGGGGGAUGACGGCUUUGGGGUGUUAACCCCUUUCCAUCAGGGACGAAGCGUGAGUGACGGUACCUGCAGAAGAAGCACCGGCCAACUACGUG